CAUGUAGGCGGUUUUUUAAGUCCGGAGUGAAAAUGCGGGGCUCAACCCCGUAUGGCUCUGGAUACUGGAAGACUUGAGUGCAGGAGAGGAAAGGGGAAUUCCCAGUGUAGCGGUGAAAUGCGUAGAUAUUGGGAGGAACACCAGUGGCGAAGGCGCCUUUCUGGACUGUGUCUGACGCUGAGAUGCGAAAGCCAGGGUAGCAACG
rnacentral:rRNA from 1 species